ensembl:lncRNA
AUUUUAUUUUGCUGCAAGCAAAUCACCUGAAAAAAUUAUCUGCUGAAAUAGAAUUUUUUUUAUUAUGUACAUUCACAAGAGACUAGUUUAAAGCACACUUGACUUGGCAAUCUAAAAAAAAAUUAAAUAAUCAUAAAAGUUAUGUUCCUUAGUGCACCCCUCUUGGUAUUUUUGAAUGCAGGCCAACUAACCAUUUCAAAAAUCUUUAAACUUGUUUAUAAGAAAAAAGAAUCUCUGCAAAUCUCUUCAAACUUCAUUUAAGCAACUUUCUAAUUAUGUAUGCAGAUCUGAACGACUUUCCUUUUUCCUUCAUGACAUUCGCUGAACCUCAGUGAGAAAAGCGUACUUUAUUUAAGUUUGCUCUUAGUUUAGAUCUUAACUACAAUUUUUAUUUACACAAGACUUUCAAAGAGGUCUGAGUAUUUACUUUUCAGGUGUAGGUCAAUUAUGUAUCUAAGAAUGGAAUAAAAGGGAUAAAUACAGAUUUAAGUGGACAAUAACUAUGAAGGAAGGAAUGGAACACCUUGGUACAAGGGAGAAAAAUGAUCUACAAAUAAGAAUGGUGAUCUAAGGUCUACAAAAAAAAAAAAUCUACAAAUAAGAGCUAGAGCAUAUCAAGGAGAUAUAUGUAGAACUAGAAAAACAAAUGUUCCUAGGAGGCUUUAUAACAAUAUUUUGAAUUCUUCUGAUUAACAUUUUGACGUAACUGUUAAACUAUGAGAUAUAAUGGAAAUGGAAUAUUUUAUCUCAUGUCCAUUUAUAUAAGUGGAGGAAAGGUAAGAAAACUAAUGUGAGAAGUCCUUUGGAGUGUAAAAUCUCUACAAUUAUCUGUAAAAAGAUACAGUUCUACUUUUCGGUCUUUUAUAAUAGCAGUAGAAAGUCAGGUAAUAUUUCUUUUUUGAGUAAUUUUAAUUUAUCAUUCCACUUAAGAUGAUUCUCCAAGAUGUUUAACCUAGAAGAACUUUUUUUUGACAAAACAGUUUGAAGUUUGUAGAUUCUGUUGGUUUUUUUUCUCUCUCUAAAGUUCAUUUGAUUUAUGUGAUUUAAGGCUACUGUCAUGGAAUUUGGGGGAAAAAUAAAGCCAAAAAAUGGGAAGCAAGCUGUUGAAUGGUUUAACUCUGAAGUGUUGCUAUUGAUGGUGGAAGACCUGAAUAUUAAAAAGAAAUCAAUUUAAAAACUGGCUAGCCAACACAAGAAACUGAUUUAUAGAUAUAGACGGUAUUGCAAUGUAAAUGCUUUUCUGCAAAGAAGAAUAUAGUACUUUUCAUGUUUGAUUGCAUUUCCUAAGGAAUUUUUUUGGUAAUGUUUGAUCAUUGUUCCUCCUGCUAUUUGAAAAUAAAUUCUCUUAUCAAAGUACUGAAUCAAUAUUUGCAUAAGUUUUACAAUUCCCAUUAUGAAAUAUAUGAAUUUAUUUAUAUUCUGUAAUGGAAGAAAUGCAAAUAUAAAGGUCAAAGAGAUUCUCUAAUUUCAGUUUUCAUAUGGGUGAUUUACUAUUCAUAUCUUGUCUUCAAGGGUGCUGAACAAGUGAAGACUAUGUAGAAAUCAGUACCUUUGUGAUCACUACCAGUUAGAAAAUGAAAUGUUUGCUGCUCGUUACUUGGUUCUAUAUUCUGUGAUAAAAACACAGAGCUGGUUGGAAAUUUUUUGUAUGUGACUUCUGGAGUGCAGUGCAUGGAAUGUUAUUCCAAAAAAAAAAAAAAACCAACAUUGAAAGUCAAUUAUUAAGGCUUAUUAAUACUUUGAUAUAUUAGGUUUUUCUUUUCUGUUUGGCUACGGAGGUAUUACAAAGCUGUAGACCUCUGGACAUGUGAAAGGCAUAUCUUUGCAAUAAUGGGGAAAGCUGUGCAGGUAUGUCGAUCCUGCUUUUCCCAAUAUUUGGUAAAGAAAUGUGAGAUCUUUUUUCCUCUUAAUAUAAAAGAAAUGUCUACUUCUCUUCUUUGGCAGUGCUAACCUCAGUCUUUGCUGCAGUUAUGGCACUUUAGACAAGAAAGAAAUGUAAGACUUAAAGCAUAUUAGAAAAGUUGGCUGUCCUUUUAUGCUGCCGUGAGGUGGAUCCUUCCCUUGCAUCUCUGAACUGAAAGGCUAAGUGUGAUUCUGCCUCCUACUCAAGACAUAUAUAUAUUUAUUAUUAUUAUUAUUAUUUUCUUAAAGGGGAUUCUGUAUGUCUUUUCAAUGCAAAGUGGGUCAUCUUCAGUUGCAAGCUGUUAAGCUUUUGCAAUCCAAUUUUCAAGAAAAAGCCCAUGUAGCCUGAGGAUUUCAUCUUGGAUCUGGUUCUCAAAUACUGCUGCCUUGGCCUGUGAGAUUUUGUUUCCUUUCAUUAGAUUUUUGGGUAUGUUACUUGAAAAAAACAAACAAAAAAACCCCAAAACCAUUAUUCCUUGGCUUAUGUGUUCAGGCUUUUCCUCAGCUUCCAAAAAGCGACAUUUUUUUUUUCUUUUCAUCUCAUAUUCUUCAUAUUCUAUAUUCUUAAUCUCAUGUUUUCUACGCACCCUGAUGCAGACUUGGAAGUAUUGCUCUCAGCAAAUGAUUUUUUUUUGAACCUAGCAGAUUUCCUUUAUUAGUGUUUUUGAAUUUACCUCAAGAAAAAUAUUGUCGUUUCAUUUAUUUCUGGAAUUCAUCUAAGGUUGUAAUGCAAUAACUGCAUUAUAAUAAGUGAAUACUGAACUUUUAAAAUACAAUUUUCCCUCAGCAAGGAUUGGGUUGUUUUGUGAUUCCAGAGACUUUAGUGCAACACUGUUAAUCAUCAACUGUUGGAUAUCACAUGUGCCCAUUUUGUCCUCUCCUGAAACAUAAUUUUUGCUGGAAAUCUUAAUUGAGUCCUUCCUUCAGAAAUGAAUCACCUUUUCAUGGGAAAGAAAAGAAAUGGUUUGAUUUCAGGAGGAGCAUCUAAGUGUGCCUAUCAAAGCACCUCCAUUUGCGACUCAGCACUUCGUCCCACAUGGCUGCUUUAAACAGAAGAAGCUGAAAGUGAAACUGUCUGAAAAUGAGAGUGAAGAAAACUGGCCUGCUUCUAUAAUUUCAACAGAAAGCACCCCAGGUAAACAAAAUGGCACACUUGUGCAAUCAGCAAUGAAGAAUUCUCCCUACUUAAAUGGCUGAAGUGAGACAAGUGGAGAGAGAAAGUACGGCUUUCUGUGAGAGCUGGGGAAAAAAUCACAACGUAAUUCCCCACGGCCUCCAGUUGCCUCAUGACCACGCUCCUAUCCUGCCCUGACCCUGUGCUGACGGACUCCUGAGAGCCUGCAGGGGCAGAGUGCUGCAUCACCCCAUUGCCACCUCUUUCCAAUGGGCAUCUGUCCACAUCAGUGGCUGCAGGAGAACCAUCAGCAAUCCUGGAGCAGCUCUUUGAGUUCCCCAGGCUGUGCUGCCAGGGAGUUUCAGCUUCUGGGAAAGGCCUCAGCAAGGAAAAGCUUUCAGCAUUCUCAAAGUCAUCUAAUUGUUCAGGACAUACUGAGUAUCUGCACUUACAGAAAUCAUGUUCAGGUGGAGCUCCCUUGAAGGCAAGGCACCGGGAAGCCAAGAUGAGUUUUCAGAAAGUCCUGCUCCUGGUGAUUAAGACCAGCUCUUCGUGUGGAUGCUUCUGGAAGAGCCUGAGGCCGUGUUGGCCACCGGGAUGAGCACUCAUCAUCGUGCAGUAUCUGCCGGUCUAAUUGUGGGUUGCUUGUCAAAAAGAGAGAUAAGGAGGGCAGGUUCCGGUGGUGCCUUCCUACUGAUAGGACCGAAUCCCAGCACGGAGCCAUCGCCACAGGCAGGAGGAUGACAAACAGGAGGCACAACAGGUUGCACCAAAAAGAAGCAGCUUUUCAGUUCAGAGGAAAUAGCUGGUUAGUGCACACGGACAACUUCUCACUUCAGCUGUAUGGGCUUUCCAGCACCUCAAGAGAUCCCACAGUUUUUGUUUUGAUAAACAAGAUGCCAUCCACCAUCUGCCAUCUCCCAUUGCCUCUGUCAGGAAGAACAGUUUGGAGAAUUCUUCCAACUGGAAGAGUCUCAGCUGUCUCUGCGCUUCAACACUAUCCUUUCACAUAAUCUUCAAAGAUCUGUCCACAAGCUCUGAAAUGUUAGCAUGGAAAAGCAAAUAAAAAAAAAAGAGAGAGAGAGAGAGAGAGAGAGAUCUGACCUUGAAGAUUUAGGAUUGGUUUUGCUUUUAAAACUAAGGAAAAAAAAAUACCUGCAACAAAGCAGAAAAAUAGAAUUAUAACUUUCUUAUGAGUUACAAGCUGCAUCAUUUUUCCCAGGGCCUGACAGUCAGGCUUGUUUUUUCCUUCUCACACAACAGUACCAGGCAGAGAUCCCAUCAGCCAAAAGCCACUUCAAAUCCCCCAAGCAACCCUCUUUUCAGAGCAUUUCCUUUCAUGCACAUGAGAUGUAAGGAGAGCUCAGGAAGAUCCUCCGAUGAAAGCCUUCCUCCCAAGUCGUCGCCUUUGAAGAAGAGCCCCAGUGCCAGUGAAGCUCCACUGGAAUUUGCCCUUUCCCAUGAUUCACAAUGGGGAUGUGAUGCAAUUUCCGAGCCAUGCUCCCUCUGGAAUAUACCACACAGAGUCUGAGUUCAGGUGGGGCCGUGCAUCUUUCAGAACCGUUCACAUGGCUGACCCACAUGUUGAUAAUUUGCAGUGAGCCAGGUGGGAUUAUCUGUGGUAUAGUUGCAGCUGGUGGCAGCACAUCCAGUAGGAGAGCACCGUUACUGCUUCAGCAUUAACAAGAAAUGGUGCCAAAGGCUGGCUGUGAUCAUGUAAAUAGCUCAUGGAGGGGGGCCAUGAGGAUUAUGACUACCUGGUGCUGCAGAGUGGAUGCCACCUGAGAGAAGAUGCUCGUGCCCACAGGGGAGAGCGCUCGCUGCCAGCAUGGAUAUGGGGUCAGUGCAGCUCCUGCCCUGCACAGCAGAAUGUUGGACUGCAGGGCUGGCUGAGCUGCAGCCAGCUCCCAUUGCUGUGCGAGGCAAUGUUUAAAAAAUAGAAUCAACACAUCAAACUAUGUGUCAUGUAAGUUUUCCAUGUCAAGGAAAAUAGCCUGAGGCCCUUCUUCCCACAUUUGCCGCUACAACAGCCAGACAACCUGGCCCCAAAAUUUAUUCUGGUCUUUAAUCAGGAAAAAUCCCUGUGAUCUCUGAGGUUGGGCUUCACGGUUUUGGAAAGAGAUGAUGUGGUUCACUAAAAGGAAGGCGCUUGCCCACUGUUCUUGAGGUCUGUGGUCACUGUGAGAGUUGCACUCAUUGUGCACCACCUGCAGAAAAAGUGGAAAUGCUCUCAUUUGCCCUAGUCGUCUCUGUGCAGUAAACAUCCAGCGUAGCAGCUUCAGAGCCAUUACUCAUGCUAUGUUUCCCUCUGUAUACACAAAAGCAGAUGCUAUCCAGCACCCGGAUGACCCCAAGUUCUGCUUUCAUCCUGAGCUAGUUUUGUUUUAUUUUUUCUCCAUGCUCUUCAUGCUGAGGUUUACCUUUCCCCAUGAUUUUGUUGCCCCAAGAACAAAGCUGGCCCUCCACAAACCAUGCACAGUGAGGCUGUGUAGGAUGUGUGCAUACUCUUACUGUUGAUUUUAGUUUCCUAAUUUAGAGCACAAAUACAAUGUCCAAGUGGCCAGAGCGAGAUUACUCCUCCAUGCACAUCAUCCUUCCCUUUGCACCUCAGGUAGCCAUUGCACAUUUCCUUUGACUCGGACUACAGUGAGAGAUUGGUUUUGCCUUUAGGAUGGGGCAGCAGCACAGAGGUGCCAACUCAAGGUGUAGGACUAUCACAGGGCUCUCAGCACUCUGAGCCAUUCAUGGCUCUUGCAAGAUCACACCUUGCAGGAAAGAUAAACCCAGAUAUGAUCUUGGGUUUAAAACCCAAGCCCUAAACAGGCUUUGAGGCCAAUGCACAAUUUCUCAAGCAGGCAAUAUGGUUUUCUUGUAUAUAUAAUAAACCUCAGUCAUCGGGAUUGCUGUGAGCUGCCACAAUGCAUACUCUCCUGUGGUGCAGCCCUGGUCGCUCUCACUGAUGUGUGCUAUUUCUGAACUAAAGCAUAAGGUUUAUCAUCCCUGCUGUUCUACCCUGCAAGCAGGAGUAAAAAAGGUCGACUACUGUGUUCAGGCAGCAUCAAAUUACUGUAAAACAAGUGAGAUACUGCAGCGAUAUAUGGCGAGUCUCGGCAUCUUCACUUCUUUCAGGCUUGCAUUAUAAAUGGGUCACAAACUGUUGCUUUCAUAAUAGAAAGAUGAGCCAUCAACUCACUCAUCCCUUCCAAAUUAAUAUUCAGUGAGGAUUUGCAAAUGAAACUGUUUCAUACCUGGGCAUGCCACGGAGCACCUGGAGUGCUUUGUCUGAGCUAUGUAAUGGGGAGUUCGGUGUCGUAAAGCAAUUUACAGGCUGUCCUAGGGCUUCUUCUGAUAAAAACGAUGACAGUAUGCACAGCUAGGCAGAGGAUAAGUGUUACAAUGAAGUCUGGGCUGGACAUAGGAGAGAAAUUUGGCACUUCUAAUCAGUUUUUUUGUCUCCCAAACCCAAAGAUCUCUUACAUGUCACCCAAACCUGGCCACACAGAGUCACCAGGGUCAGGCUGCCGUUCUUCCACUGCUCACACCAAGCUCCAGGUUCAGCCAGGUUGUGCUUCCUCCAUCAGCACUGACCAAUAUCAGCACCAAUAUCUGCCCUUCUGUCAGAGGAGAAACACCUUUAUCUUCUCAGGCUGAAAGAGAGCCACUCAAUAGAUCUGCAUCUACAGACUGCAGCAGUCUUCUCAUCCAUCUGUCGAAAUGUGCAUACCUGGCUGCGUCGGAGGCCACAGAUACAGCACUCAGCUGGAGUUGACUGUGGUGAUGCUGGGAGAUGCUGUUGGAGCAGCCCCAUGGGGGCCCCCAGCCCUGACCUGUGCUCAUCGCGGCUGAUGGAGAUGCCUCGAGCAGGAGCUCACGUCUGGCGGAGCCCGGUGGCAAAUUGGAAGAGCUCUUCCCAGAGUGAGAAAGAAGCUAAUUUCUUACUAAUUAUUUGCCAAACAGCAUGUAAUUAAAUAGCGCAGAACUGUCGACAAUGCAUCUUUGGGUCUUUAGGCCAUAUUUUUCCUGUUCGUGGCACGCUCCUCCAGCGCUUCAAGGCUACUGCAUGCUGCAGAGCAGCGGAGGAGCAGAGUGAUAAUUGAACAAUUAACAAGUGAUGUCAUAAAACAUUGUGCUUAAAAUAAAAUGCGUAAUUAAAAUAACUGAAGCACAAAAAAAGAUGCAACGGCGUACAGAAAAAGCACACACACUAAAAAAAAUAAAAAAAAAAUCCUUGAGAAUAAGUAAGUCCCAUGUAGGAACUAAAAUAUGCCAUUUAAAGGGAAAAAAAUAGCACCAGAGUGGUUAAGCAAAGACGUGGAGUAAACUAGCAAGCAAUGAUGAUUUGCCAAAAACUAUACUAAUGUUGCAAAAGAAGUAUUCUCUGUAGUUAACAAGUUUGGGCCAUAAAACAGUCCUUCGGUGGCUCCCUGUGUCAUUAUUUGCUACCAAGACACUGUGCUGAUGGGCUCCUCGGGAUCCGGCGUUAGAUCAGUAAGCAGGAAAGCAGAGGUCCCCCCAGAUUUCCUGCCUGGAGAGCUGUUAGGAUCCGCGCUAGUUCUUUAAAGAGCAGAGCUGCGUACAGUGCUGCACUCAAAAUGACCCCGUUAGGAAUAUAAUCUGCUACAAAUGAGACGUUUGGAGGGAAAAAUAACACAGGAAAGCCAAAAGAAAAGAGAGAGAGAUUAAAAAAAAAAAAAAAAACAUUCCGGCUUGACUUCAGCUCAUCCUAAC